rnacentral:rRNA from 1 species
AUUGAACGCUGGCGGCAUGCUUUACACAUGCAAGUCGAACGGUAACAGGCCUUCGGGUGCUGACGAGUGGCGAACGGGUGAGUAAUGCAUCGGAACGUGCCCAAUCGUGGGGGAUAACGUAGCGAAAGUUACGCUAAUACCGCAUAAGCCCUGAGGGGGAAAGUGGGGGACCGCAAGGCCUCACGCGAAUGGAGCGGCCGAUGUCAGAUUAGCUAGUUGGUGGGGUAAAGGCCCACCAAGGCGACGAUCUGUAGCGGGUCUGAGAGGAUGAUCCGCCACACUGGGACUGAGACACGGUCCAGACUCCUACGGGAGGCAGCAGUGGGGAAUAUUGGACAAUGGGGGCAACCCUGAUCCAGCCAUGCCGCGUGAGUGAUGAAGGCCUCGGUUGUAAGACGU